UGAUAUGAAGUUGCAAAAUGAUUUUCCUGGCAAAUCACUGCCACGGAGUCAAAAUCAAUUACCAUCCAAAAAAUCUGAAAAGAUUCCAGCCAUAACAGGUGAACCUGUAGUUGGAAUUGGGCCUGUCAUUGACUAUAAAGUUGGAAUUCAAUUAGAAAAACCAAUCCCCCAGAACGAGUGUUCCAAGGAUAUGAAGUUGCAAAAUGAUUUUCCUGGCAAAUCACUGCCACGGAGUCAAAAUCAAUUACCAUCCAAAAAAUCUGAAAAGAUUCCAGCCAUAACAGGUGAACCUGUAGUUGGAAUUGGGCCUGUCAUUGACUAUAAAGUUGGAAUUCAAUUAGAAAACCAAUCCCCAGAAGGAGUGUUCCAAGGAUAUGAAGUUGCAAAAUGAUUUUCCUGGCAAAUCACUGCCACGGAGUCAAAAUCAAUUACCAUCCAAAAAAUCUGAAAAGAUUCCAACCCUAAUAGGUGAACCUGUAGUUGGAAUCGGGUCUGUCAUUGACUAUAAAGUCGGAGUUCAGUUAAUAAAACCAGUCCCCCAGAAGAUGUAUUCCAAGGAUAUGAAGUUGCAAAAUGAUUAUCCUGGCAAAUCAGUGAGUCAAAAUCAAUUAGCAUCCACAAGAUUUGGAAAGAUUCCAUCCAAAGGUGGUGAAGCUGUAGUUGGAAUUGAGCCUAUCAUUGACUAUAAGAUUGGAGUUCAAUUAGAAAAACCUGUCCCCCAGAAGGAGUGUUCCAAGGAUAUGAAUUUGCAAAGUGAUUCUCCUGGCAAAUCACUGCCACUGAGUCAAAAUCAGUCACCAUCUCCAAAAUCUGGAAAUAUGCCAUCCCAAGAAGAUGAAGUAGCUGCAGCUGGAAGUGAGCCUGUCAUUGACUCUAAGGAGGGAGAUCAUUUAGAAAAACCAAUCUCCCAGAAGCAGUGUGAACCAUUUCUAGACAAAGAGAAACAGAAAGAAGUAAAGAAAGACUUGAAACAAGAAUUGAAAUUGAGAGGACCAUCAGAAUUACCAGAAGCAUCAUCUUCUUUGGCAAGUCACUUAAGUGAUUCUGUGGAAAAAGAAAAAGAUAAUUUUCUCAAUGUAGGAGAUCUUAAGUCAUUUCCUGGAAAAAGGGAAGAUAGUCUGGAAAAUAUCUUUUUACAGAAUUUAAAGAUCAACUUCCCAAAAAAUGUUUUACAAUUCUCUUCCCAUAUGUGCUCAAAAAAGAGCACCCCACAGUCUAAGAAUAAGCCAAAAACUGAACAUACUUGCAGUAUAAAUGAAGAGAAAAUUGCUUAUGUUGCAAAAAAUAUAAAAAAAAAUAACUCAAAAUCAGGCAUAAAUGAAAGAAACGAAGAUAGCUCAUUUGGUAUUGAAAUGACAUUUAGUCAGCACAAAAAUAUCACAAGUUUAGAAUCGGAUUCAGAUUUGCUCCAAUCAAGUGAUCCAGGAAGUUAUUUUGGUGUCGCAUCAAACAACCAAGAAAAAAUGCCUGAACUAAUUACUUCGAGAAAACAUAAGGAGAAAACAAAGCAUAUAGAAACCUCAUUCCAGAACAGUCAUCACAAUGCUACUAACUCACCAAAUGAGUUGGAAGAGAAAAGGCAAAAGCAUCAACAGAAUAAAACGGAAACACUGGAGAGACAAGAUGGUGAGAAAACUGAAAACAGAAGAGCUGUCAAAGCUAAUGAGCAAUUUUCAGUGGAGCAUGGUAAAGAUGAGGAAAAUAAAAUUCCUGGGGAAGAAAUACCAUUAAUGAGUAUUUCUUCCGAGGAAAAAUUAUCACCUAUGCACCAUAUUUUAAAUGGGUAAGUUUGUCAAAAUAAUUAACUGGAGUAUUAUUAUCAAAACUUAACAUUCAUGGUAUGUUCAGUUUACUCUAAAAAAUAUAGAUCCAGAUUCACUCUGCAUCCACUUGUUUUUUGCCAAGAAAGAAAUUAUAAAGUCCCAUGAAUGUAUAUUAUUCUAUUCCUGUAAGUAUAUUCUUUUAUUUUGUAACAGUUUUAUUUUGGAAGAAACAUUAGUGUUUAUUGAAAGAAGGUAGGUAGCCUUUAAUGAGAUCCAAAAGAUUAGCAUAUAAUAUAAGAUAUGGAUGGCAAGGAGCAAAGCAAGAUAGUUUGCAAAAGUUUGCAAAUGUAUAAAUAAUAAGUGCUGAGAUAUGAAAAUAGGCUUACAGCUAUUCCAAAAGUUAAAUGAGUUUUCUUAGUCAUUAGAAAGCUUCCCAUCAGUAGAAAUAUUCAAGAAUGAAUCAAUUUAAGUGCUUAUCAUGGCCAAGCACUGAGGAAAGUCAGACAAUCUAGAUUCUUGAGAAACUCACACUUAUAAUUGGAGACAUGCAAAUCAUUAAAAGGAUAAUUGCCAACCUAUUGCUAUAUAAGAUGGGCCUGAGGAGCAAAAGGCUAAUAAUGUCCUUUCAGGAUGGCAGAAAAAAAGGGGAAUUGAAAGAAAUGUAGAGAGAAGUGUUCAUGCAGCUCUUGUUUUAUAAGACCUUCUAGUGCUCAUGUGGCUACUGGACAGGCUGAAGAAGAACAAAAAGCAUAUAACUGCUACCUGCUGCCCCACCUAAAAAUGUCUUAAGAGGACCAUAAGGUGAAAGAUGAGACACAGGAAUAUGGUAAAGAGGGUUCCCGAUUCACAUUAUGACUGUACUUACUAGAAAGACCUCUAAAGUUCCAACUCAUGAGAGUUGUAAUGUGGAAGUGUUCUGGCUUAACAUUGAGAAAGUAGAGGAUGUUUUUAAAAAAAAAAAAAAAAAAAGCGCAAGCCUGGAUUUACUUUUAUUAAAAUAAUUUAACAGCCUGAAAAAACUUAUCCUAAAAUAAUUUCAACCAUAUAUAACCUAUUUGAGAGACACUGAAAAAGGCAUCUUUUCCUGCCUCAAUGCCAGAACUCAUACAUUGUGACCUCAGUGGCAAACAGACAGAAAACUAUCUACUGUUCCUUUGAGUAGUGGGGAGUAACCAUAUUAGAUUUAUUUGUGAUAGUAAAGCCAUGGAUAACUGAAAGCUUCUUGUCAUCUUAUACUUUUUUAUCAGCCUCAUUUCCCAAGAUAUCUCUGCCCACCCUUCUAGUGAAACAUUCCUAAUCACACAUCAAUAUUACAUGCAGUGUUCCAUAUUAAUAGUCUUCCACUCUGCAUAAAUAUACCCUCUCUUAGACAUUAUAAUUUCAUAGUAUUCAGUUACAGUUAUUUCAUUCUCAAUAAAUUACAUUAUUGCAGUUAGAAUUUAUAUUGUUGUCCUGGUUACACUGAUUUCAUUUUGCAUUAAUUUGUAUAAAUAUUCUCAUCCUCCUAUUUAAUAUUUCUAAACAUACACAAUGGUGUUCCAUUACAUCCACAAACUACAAUUUGUUUAGCCAUUCAUUAGUCAAUGAGCACCUAUUCAAUUCACAGUUAUUUGCUACUACAAAAGAUCUUUGCUGUGAAUAUUUUGGUUUUUAAAAACUUUUCUUGCCAUUGGGUAAAAAUAACUCUUUGGGGUAUAUUUUUAGCAAUUGGAGAGAGAAAUUAAUGCAAAAGCACCGGAGAAAUUCCUAUUCUUUGGAAAAGUUUGAAGAAAAGGAAAUCAAAAUAGGGUAAGUUGCCAUAGAAUAUUCUAUUAAUAUUAAUAUU
rnacentral:lncRNA from 1 species